GACGAACGCUGGCGGCGUGCUUAACACAUGCAAGUCGAACGGAAAGGCCCUGCUUUUGUGGGGUGCUCGAGUGGCGAACGGGUGAGUAACACGUGAGUAACCUGCCCUUGACUUUGGGAUAACUUCAGGAAACUGGGGCUAAUACCGGAUAGGAGCUCCUGCUGCAUGGUGGGGGUUGGAAAGUUUCGGCGGUUGGGGAUGGACUCGCGGCUUAUCAGCUUGUUGGUGGGGUAGUGGCUUACCAAGGCAUUGACGGGUAGCCGGCCUGAGAGGGUGACCGGCAACAUUGGGACUGAGAUACGGCCCAGACUGCUACGGGAGGCAGCAGUGGAGAAUAUUGCACAAUGGGCGGAAGCCUGAUGCAGCAACGCCGCGUGCGGGAUGACGGCCUUCGGGUUGUAAACCGCUUUCGCCUGUGACGAAGCGUGAGUGACGGUAAUGGGUAAAGAAGCACCGGCUAACUACGUG
rnacentral:rRNA from 1 species